UACGUAGGGAGCAAGCGUUAUCCGGAAUUAUUGGGUGUAAAGGGUGCGUAGACGGGAUAACAAGUUGGUUGUGAAACCCCUCGGCUCAACUGAGGAACUGCAACCAAAACUAUUAUUCUUGAGUGCAGGAGAGGAAAGUGGAAUUCCUAGUGUAGCGGUGAAAUGCGUAGAUAUUAGGAAGAACACCGGUGGCGAAGGCGACUUUCUGGACUGUAACUGACGUUGAGGCACGAAAGUGUGGGGAGCAAACAGG
rnacentral:rRNA from 1 species